CGUGCCUUGUAGUGGGGAAUAACAGUGAGAAAUCACUGCUAAUACCGCAUAGACUCUACUAAUCGCAUGAUUAAAAGAGGAAAGAUGGCGAUCCGAAAGGAGCUAUCGCUAGAAGAGCGACCCGCGUCUGAUUAGCUAGUUGGUGAGGUAAAGGCUCACCAAGGCGACGAUCAGUAGCCGGCCUGAGAGGGUGAACGGCCACAUUGGGACUGAGACACGGCCCAAACUCCUACGGAAGGCAGCAG
rnacentral:rRNA from 1 species